CCCAAAAAUACGAAAUGUGUGUAAUCACAGUCGUAUUUUGAAAAAGUGUACACUCUAAAGUUUUUAUUACUAUACUUUUGUAUUGAUAAUUUUUUGAAAUGGUGGAAGCUAAAAAAUGCUCAAAGAAAGAAACUUACAAGCCAAAAAAGGUCGCCCGCCUCACCAAUAAAGCCUAUUUAAACUUUUUACGAAAUUUCAAGAAAAAAAAUAGCGGACUCCUGCCGCGAGAGAUGGUCAUGCGUGGUACUAAGGCUUGGUGUCGACUAAACAAACAGCAGAAGGAGAGAUACCGCAAAAUGAAAAGCACCAAGCGCCGUUGCUAGCUAAUAAAGGGUAACCAUAACAUUCCCUUAACCAAAGCAUAAUUCGAUCGGUUUGAAAAAACCAGCAAAGGGGCAACAUAGUACCAUCCGCUGAUCUUGGGCCGGUCUGUCCAUAAUGUCGUAUAUGUCUAUAUUGAGUUAUAUUUCUUAGGUAGGUCGCAUUGUUCAUGCGAUAUCAGUCCUAGUGUUUCUAAAUAGCCAUUGCGUCGUUGCUGAACCCACAGGAAAGCCAGCCUGAAACUGCUUAGUCUUAGCCUCUUGCUAAAAUAUGCCAUUAGUGUCGUAAAUUUCCAGUGUAAUUGAAAUUAAAUAUAGAUUGAAUUAUACUUCCUUUUAUAAAGGAUAUACUGCGAAGGAGA